rnacentral:rRNA from 1 species
AGGGAAGCGAGAGGGAGACCUGGAGCGAACCCCAAAAAGGAACGUCCCAGUUCGGACUGUGGUCUGCAACCCGACCACACGAAGCUGGAAUCGCUAGUAAUCGCGGAUCAGAAUGCCGCGGUGAAUACGUUCCCGGGUCUUGUACACACCGCCCGUCACACCAUGGGAGUCAGCAACGCCCGAAGUCAGUGACCCAACCUUUAAGGAGGGAGCUGCCGAAGGCGGGGCAGGUGACUGGGGUGAAGUCGUAACAAGGUAGC